rnacentral:rRNA from 1 species
UGUACCGAUUGUCGGAUUAUUGGGCGUAAAGAGCUCGUAGGCGGUUUGUCGCGUCUGCUGUGAAAACCCGAGGCUCAACCUCGGGCCUGCAGUGGGUACGGGCAGACUAGAGUGCGGUAGGGGAGAUUGGAAUUCCUGGUGUAGCGGUGGAAUGCGCAGAUAUCAGGAGGAACACCAAUGGCGAAGGCAGAUCUCUGGGCCGUAACUGACGCUGAGGAGCGAAAGCAUGGGGAGCGAACAGGAUUAGAUACCCUGGUAGUCCAUGCCGUAAACGUUGGGAACUAGAUGUGGGGACCAUUCCACGGUCUCCGUGUCGCAGCUAACGCAUUAAGUUCCCCGCCUGGGGAGUACGGCCGCAAGGCUAAAACUCAAAGGAAUUGACGGGGGCCCGCACAAGCGGCGGAGCAUGCGGAUUAAUUCGAUGCAACGCGAAGAACCUUACCAAGGCUUGACAUAUACCGGAAACGGCCAGAAAUGGUCGCCCCGCAAGGUCGGUAUACAGGUGGUGCAUGGUUGUCGUCAGCUCGUGUCGUGAGAUGUUGGGUUAAGUCCCGCAACGAGCGCAACCCUCGUCCUAUGUUGCCAGCACGUAAUGGUGGGAACUCAUGGGAUACUGCCGGGGUCAACUCGGAGGAAGGUGGGGAUGACGUCAAAUCAUCAUGCCCCUUAUGUCUUGGGCUUCACGCAUGCUACAAUGGCCGGUACAAAGGGCUGCAAUACCGCAAGGUGGAGCGAAUCCCAAAAAGCCGGUCUCAGUUCGGAUUGAGGUCUGCAACUCGACCUCAUGAAGUCGGAGUCGCUAGUAAUCGCAGAUCAGCAACGCUGCGGUGAAUACGUUCCCGGGCCUUGUACACACCGCCCGUGAGGUGGUGAAAGUCGGUAACACCCGAAGCCAGUGGCCGAACCCGUAAGGGACGGAGCUGUCGAAGGUGGGAUUGGUGAUUAGGACUAAGUCGUAACAAGGUAACCGUA